AACAGACUUUCAUUCAGGCAAUAGCUGACAAAACUAGAAUUAAGUUCGUGCAGAGAUUCGUUGGAUAACACAAAAUUCACACGAAAAGGAUUAUAAUACUAUAUACUCAGCAGAAUGCGUCGUUCAACACACUUUCAUUCAGGCAAUAGCUGACAAAACUAGAAAUAAGUUCGUGCAGAGAUUCUGAUUUACAUCUGUUUCGUCAUGCUUUUCUUUACCAUGUGAUAGGAGCCUACCAUGUGGAGCACUUGGAUACAAUACAGCGCCAGGUUUGACUUAGGAAAGAGUAAUACAGCACAACCAUAAAAGGUGAUCUAUUAUUCUGAAGAUAACAUAGUAAUAUACAAAGUAAGCCCCUUGAACCUCAAAACUGAAGCAUAUACCAGAAAAGGAUUUAAAUGCGAUUAGAUA
rnacentral:lncRNA from 1 species